rnacentral:rRNA from 1 species
UGAUGACGAGACGCUAAGGCGUUGAAGCAGUGUAUGUCAGACUUCCAAGAAAAGCUCGCAAUGUCACAAAUAAGAAAUGCCUGUACCAUAACCGACACAGGUGGGUAGGUAGAGUAUACUAAGGGGCGCGAGAUAACUCUCUCUAAGGAACUCGGCAAAAUGACUCCGUAACUUCGGGAGAAGGAGUGCCUUAUUUAUAAGGUUGCAAUAACAAGAUCCAAGCAACUGUUUAUCAAAAACACAGGUCUCCGCUAAGUCGUAAGACGAUGUAUGGGGGCUGACGCCUGCCCAGUGCCAGAAGGUUAAAGAAGUUGGUUAGUGUAUGCGAAGCUGAUGACUGAAGCCCUGGUGAACGGCGGCCGUAACGAUAACGGUCCUAAGGUAGCAAAAUUCCUUGUCGGGUAAGUUCCGACCCGCACGAAAGGCGUAAUGAUUUGGAUACUGUCUCGGAGAGAGGCUCGGUGAAAUAGACUUGUCUGUGAAGAUGCGGACUACCUGCACCAGGACAGAAAGACCCUAUGAAGCUUUACUGUAACUUGAAAUUGGAAUUGGACUUUGCUUGCGCAGUAUAGGUGGGAAGCGUUGAAAAUAUUCUUGCGGGAGUAUUGGAGCUAUCAGUGAGAUACCACUCUUGUAAUGUUAGAUUUCUAACUUUGAACCAUAAUCUGGUCAAAGAACAGUUUCAGGUGGGCAGUUUGACUGGGGCGGUCGCCUCCCAAAUGGUAACGGAGGCGUACAAAGGUUUCCUCUGAACGGAUAGAAAUCGUAUCUAGAGUGUAAAGGCAUAAGGAAGCUUGACUGUGAGACCUACAAGUCGAGCAGGGACGAAAGUCGGUCUUAGUGAUCUGACGGUACUGAGUGGAAAGGCCGUCACUCAACGGAUAAAAGUUACUCUAAGGAUAACAGGCUGAUCUCCCCCAAGAGUUCACAUCGACGGGGAGGUUUGGCACCUCGAUGUCGGCUCAUCGCAUCCUGGGGCGGUAGUACGUCCCAAGGGUUGGGCUGUUCGCCCAUGAAAGCGGUACGCGAGCUGGGUUCAGAACGUCGUGAGACAGUUCGGUCCAUAUCCGGUGUAGGCGCUAGAAUAUUGAGAGGAGCCUUCUUUAGUACGAGAGGACCGAGAAGGACACACCGCUGGUGUACCAGUUAUCGUGCCAACGGUAAACGCUGGGUAGCUAUGUGUGGAGUGGAUAACCGCUGAAAGCAUCUAAGUGGGAAGCCCACCUCGAGAUGAGUAUUCUG